rnacentral:rRNA from 1 species
GUGCCAGCCGCCGCGGUAAUACGUAGGGGGCAAGCGUUGUCCGGAUUUAUUGGGCGUAAAGCGCUCGCAGGUGGUUCGCUGCGUCGUGCGUGAAAGACCUCGGCUCAACUGGGGGAUGUCGUGCGAUACGGGCGGACUGGAGGCCAGUAGGGGGAUGCGGAAUUCCGGGUGUAGUGGUGGAAUGCGUAGAGAUCCGGAGGAACACCAGCGGCGAAGGCGGCAUCCUGGACUGGUCCUGACACUCAGGAGCGAAAGCGUGGGGAGCGAUCCGGAUUAGAAACCCGGGUAGUCC